GCAGUCGAACGGCAGCACGGGAGCAAUCCUGGUGGCGAGUGGCGAACGGGUGAGUAAUAUAUCGGAACGUGCCCAGUCGUGGGGGAUAACGCAGCGAAAGCUGUGCUAAUACCGCAUACGAUCUACGGAUGAAAGCGGGGGAUCGCUAGACCUCGCGCGAUUGGAGCGGCCGAUAUCAGAUUAGCUAGUUGGUGGGGUAAAGGCCCACCAAGGCGACGAUCUGUAGCUGGUCUGAGAGGACGACCAGCCACACUGGAACUGAGACACGGUCCAGACUCCUACGGGAGGCAGCAGUGGGGAAUUUUGGACAAUGGGCGCAAGCCUGAUCCAGCAAUGCCGCGUGCAGGAUGAAGGCCUUCGGGUCGUAAACUGCUUUUGUACGGAACGAAACGGUGAGCUCUAAUAAAGUUUGCUAAUGACGGUACCGUAAGAAUAAGCACCGGCUAACUACGUGCCAGCAGCCGCGGUAAUACGUAGGGUGCGAGCGUUAAUCGGAAUUACUGGGCGUAAAGCGCGCGCAGGCGGUUAUAUAAGACAGAUGUGAAAUCCCCGGGCUCAACCUGGGACCUGCAUUUGUGACUGUAUAGCUAGAGUACGGUAGAGGGGGAUGGAAUUCCGCGUGUAGCAGUGAAAUGCGUAGAUAUGCGGAGGAACACCGAUGGCGAAGGGCAUCCCCUGGACCUGUACUGACGCUCAUGCACG
rnacentral:rRNA from 1 species